UAUAUCUAAAAAUAUUCUAGAUUGUACGGUAUAUUUAUUAUUAUAUUUAUUAUUAUAAAGCACCUAUUCGUCGAUCACAUGACAUUCCACGACAACAGUUCGAUACCGGUACUCUGUUCGCAUACUUAUUUAUAUAUUUCAACUUUCACUGAUAACGAGAGCAACAUUCCACGAGCGGCGUCUUCUGAAUAUUUAGAGGUUAUGUAGAGAUUUCAGACUGGAAGUUCCAGUCUGUGUCGCGUAUCCAGCCGGUUACACGCGCGUGAUCCUGCGGGACGAACGUGCAAUUCAACGGUUUCCUUUUUUUUUUUCUCAUGGUGGAAGGUUUGCCGCUGACAUGCACAAUUUUAACGACUCUUUUUGACACAAGCACGCUCUCUGCGAAUAAUUAGGAGAACCGUGGUUACCGACAGUGUUAAAACAUAGACGGAGAAGAAAGAGAUCUGAAUCGUAAUAGGAUAUUGUUCUGUCCAGAUGGCAGUUUUAAUUGGACAAAUAAACAUUUACCCUAAUUCUCGAUUGUUAUCUGCAAAUAAACCCAUUUUGGAAGUUUAUUGCCGUUAUUGGAAUCGACAUUGCUGAAAAUGAAUGGAUGCAGGUCGAACAGUUGAACAGCUGUGUUGUAAAUACAAAGUAGAUUAUUCUGAAGAGAAGAGCCUACGGCGAAUCGAGCUCGGCCAUUUUCAAUUAACCUUCGAUGUAUGGUUCAGAAAAUCUCAUUUAAUUAGCGUUUGGCGAUUGGAAUUAGCUGUAAUUGCGACGGGCAUUUAAUCGAUUACGAGGUUAUGAAAGGUCAUGUUGAAAGAACAGCGUUGAAGAUGUUAUAUGAAGAGAAUAUAAUGGACGAAGAAAAUGGUCAUAAUUAAUUUUAUACCUUUUUAAUGAAAGAGAUAUGCUAAUUACAGGCGAGCGUGCUCGUGCCUUAUAACUUGAUAUCAGAACAGGAUUAACCUCAUCGUUUAAACCCUCUGAUAACGAGAAUACAAUUCUUCAACUAGUAACAUGUCUACGUUCCCAUCCUGUUUCUAUCCAAAAGGGAAUUUCACCAUGAAAACGGCUCAGUUGGUGAGAGUUGAUCACGUAUCGGGGCAAAAAGUUACUGGUUACCUCAUCGAGUCGAAUAUGGAGCGGCUAAAAAUAGGAAAUCGAUGAGAAACGUCGUGAUUUAGAUCUAACCUAUACCUAAUGCCAUUAAUGGAUGCAAUGAAUAAGGAAAGGAGGAAGGAAAUGAAUCGAACGUGAAAGUAAAAUGGCGGAAUCGAAAUAAAAUCGAUAUUUCGUUCAUUAUUAAGUAAUUUCUCUUCGUUAAUUCGAUUGAUCUCGAAUUGAAUUACUUUCUCUCCGAUGUAUCGAUCCAUCGAACUCGAUUUAUUUGUCUCGAUGUAGAUAUUCAGCGAGAUAGAUGGAGCCUCUCUCGAAGGGAAUUUCCGUGUCGGGAAAGGUCCAAACGUGUAACGAUCAAUUUCACGGUGGGUCAACCUGUUUGAAACUCGAUCAGUGCGACGAUAAUGCGAUUUAUUCCGGAUGCUUGCGAACUUUCAGCGAACUGUUGCUUCUUCGAGGUGUGGAAGAAGCACGUAGAUGUGGUUUCACGCCUGUGAUUGUGGUUUGAGAAGAAAGAGUAGAGUAAUAGUUCAAGGCUCGAUUCGAGUUUCAUUGAAAGUAAUUGAUGGACUGUAGAUUUUUUUUUUUUUGCAAAAUGUACCAUUAAUUCUUUAUCCAAAAUGUACUUUAUGUUCAAAGUACAAGAUUGUGGGAUAAAAUUCCAUGCAAAUUUAAUUUUGUUCGAUUAAAAAUUCGCCAUUUAAUGAUCACGUUAGAAUUGAAACGUUUUUGUAUUUUUUUUUUUUAAUUAUUUGUUAUAUUACAGUAU
rnacentral:lncRNA from 1 species